rnacentral:lncRNA from 1 species
CCUAAUUUAUGAAGUUUGCCUUACGCUUCUAAAAUCACAGGACCAGCACUGACAAAAUCACAGCCGCCAUCUCCACCAUGACCACCAUAAUUCCACAACACCACAACCACAAAUUCACCCAAGCUGCCUCGACCUCUACAAGUCCAGCACAAAAAAAUCCCCAAACAGUAGCAAAUCCACAGAGACCAACCACCAAACCUUUACAAAUCCACAAUUUUACCAAACCACGUAACCAUAAAUUCACCAAGCCGCCACGACCUACACAAGUCCAGCACACCACAACCAGCAACGUCGCACUACCACGCACAAACACAAAAAAUCCCGAAAAGCAAGGUGCUGUCUCCUUUGUGAAGUCGACUCUAAGAAGAAAAAACAGAGGGACGAGAAGCGGAAGCACCCCUGCAAUGAUGAAUCACUGUCGACACAAUUGCACUGGUCGGUCACAGUGUGGUUCUAUCCGUCGGAGAAGCAACGGAGAGAGAGAGAGAGAAAGAGAGAGAGAGAGAGAUAAUAUAUUUUAGGGUUGUGUGAGAUUUUUGCUACGUGGGGGUGGGUUGUGGAUAUUUUUAAUUUUAUAACUUUAAAAUAUUUAAAAAAUGUAUGAUUAUCUGAUGUUUAAAUUUAAAUCUUAAUUUUGAAUUGGGGAUUUGAAAACUAUAGAUAGCUGUAAUUUCUACUUAUAAAAAU